rnacentral:rRNA from 1 species
UACGUAGGGGGCAAGCGUUGUCCGGAAUUAUUGGGCGUAAAGCGCGCGCAGGCGGCUAUUUAAGUCUGGUGUUUAAACCUUGGGCUCAACCUGGGGUCGCACUGGAAACUGGAUGGCUUGAGUACAGGAGAGGAAAGUGGAAUUCCACGUGUAGCGGUGAAAUGCGUAGAGAUGUGGAGGAACACCAGUGGCGAAGGCGACUUUCUGGGCUGUAACUGACGCUGAGGCGCGAAAGCGUGGGGAGCAAACAGG